rnacentral:rRNA from 1 species
AUUGAACGCUGGCGGCAUGCUUUACACAUGCAAGUCGAACGGUAACAGGCCGCAAGGUGCUGACGAGUGGCGAACGGGUGAGUAAUGCAUCGGAACGUGCCCAGUCGUGGGGGAUAACGCAGCGAAAGCUGCGCUAAUACCGCAUACGAUCUAUGGAUGAAAGCGGGGGACCGUAAGGCCUCGCGCGAUUGGAGCGGCCGAUGUCAGAUUAGGUAGUUGGUGAGGUAAAGGCUCACCAAGCCAACGAUCUGUAGCUGGUCUGAGAGGACGACCAGCCACACGGGGACUGAGACACGGCCCAGACUCCUACGGGAGGCAGCAGUGGGGAAUUUUGGACAAUGGGCGCAAGCCUGAUCCAGCAAUGCCGCGUGCAGGAAGAAGGCCUUCGGGUUGUAAACUGCUUUUGUACGGAAUGAAACGGUCCGGGCUAAUACCCUGGGCUAAUGACGGUACCGUAAGAAUAAGCACCGGCUAACUACGUGCCAGCCGCCGCGGUAAGAC